ACUGCUCAGUAACACGUGGAUAACCUGCCCUAAGGAAGGGGAUAACCUCGGGAAACUGAGGAUAAUACCCUAUAGGUUACAGACGCUGGAAUGCCCUGUAACCGAAAGUUCCGGCGCCUUAGGAUGGAUCUGCGGCCGAUUAGGUUGUUGUUGGGGUAACGGCCCAACAAGCCGAUAAUCGGUACGGGUUGUGGGAGCAAGAGCCCGGAGUUGGAUUCUGAGACAUGAAUCCAGGCCCUACGGGGCGCAGCAGGCGCGAAAACUUUACAAUGCGGGAAACCGUGAUAAGGGAACCCCGAGUGCCUGUAUAUGCAGGCUGUCCAGGUGUCUAAAAAACACCUGAAGAAAGGGCCGGGCAAGACCGGUGCCAGCCGCCGCGGUAAUACCGGCGGCUCGAGUGGUGGCCACUUUUAUUGGGCUUAAAGCGUUCGUAGCUGGGUUGUUAAGUCUCUUGGGAAAUCUGACGGCUCAACCGUCAGGCGUCCAAGGGAUACUGGCAAUCUUGGAACCGGGAGAGGUGAGGGGUACUUCGGGGGUAGGAGUGAAAUCCUGUAAUCCUCGAGGGACCACCUGUGGCGAAGGCGCCUCACCAGAACGGCUUCGACAGUGAGGGACGAAAGCUGGGGGAGCAAACCGGAUUAGAUACCCGGGUAGUCCCAGCCGUAAACGAUGCGCGUUAGGUGUAUCGGUGACCACGAGUCACCGAGGUGCCGAAGGGAAACCGUGAAACGUGCCGCCUGGGAAGUACGGUCGCAAGGCUGAAACUUAAAGGAAUUGGCGGGGGAGCAC
rnacentral:rRNA from 25 species